GGUCGAUUAACUCAGUUGGUUAGAGUGCCGUACUAAUAUCAAGUGAACUUGAGAUGCGGAUGUCAUGGGUUCGACCCCCAUAUUGACCA